GCUCGUAGUUGAACUUUGGGCCUGGGCGGACGGUCUACCUAUGGUAAGCACUGUUGCGGCCGGGUCUUUCCUUCUGGCUAGCCCUCGGGCGAACCAGGACGAUUACUUUGAGGAAAUUAGAGUGUUCAAAGCAGGCCUUUGCUCGGAUAUAUUAGCAUGGAAUAAUAGAAUAGGACGCAUGGUUCUAUUUUGUUGGUUUCUAGGACCAUCGUAAUGA
rnacentral:ncRNA from 1 species